rnacentral:rRNA from 1 species
UACGUAGGGUGCGAGCGUUAAUCGGAAUUACUGGGCGUAAAGCGUGCGCAGGCGGUUCGUUGUGUCGGUGGUGAAAUCCCCGGGCUUAACCUGGGAAUGGCCAUGGAAACUGGCGAACUGGAGUGCGGCAGAGGGGGGUGGAAUUCCGCGUGUAGCAGUGAAAUGCGUAGAGAUGCGGAGGAACACCGAUGGCGAAGGCAGCCCCCUGGGCUAGCACUGACGCUCAGGCACGAAAGCGUGGGGAGCAAACAGGAUUAGAUACCCUGGUAGUCCACGCCCUAAACCAUGUCAACUGGGUGUUCGGGAAGCGAUUUCUGAGUACCGUAGCUAACGCGUGAAGUUGACCGCCUGGGGAGUACGGCCGCAAGGUUAAA